rnacentral:rRNA from 1 species
CAAUAGCGUAUAUUUAAGUUGUUGCAGUUAAAAAGCUCGUAGUUGGAUUUCGGGUGGGACGCAGCGGUCUCGCAUUGCGUUUGUACUGCUGCAGCCCUCCUUCUUGCCGGGGGCGGCCUCUCGGACUUCACUGUCUGGGGGUCAGAAUCGGCGAUGUUACUUUGAGUAAAUUAGAGUGUUCAAAGCAAGCUUACGCUCUGAAUAUAAUAGCAUGGGAUAACACGACAGGACUCUGGCCUAUCGUGUUGGUCUAUAGGACCAGAGUAAUGAUUAAGAGGGACAGUCGGGGGCAUUCGUAUUCCGUUGUCAGAGGUGAAAUUCUUGGAUUUAUGGAAGACGAACAUCUGCGAAAGCAUUUGCCAAGGAUGUUUUCAUUG